rnacentral:rRNA from 1 species
GACGAACGCUGGCGGCGUGCCUAAUACAUGCAAGUAGAACGCUGAAGGAGGAGCUUGCUUCUCUGGAUGAGUUGCGAACGGGUGAGUAACGCGUAGGUAACCUGCCUGGUAGCGGGGGAUAACUAUUGGAAACGAUAGCUAAUACCGCAUAAGAGUGGAUGUUGCAUGACAUUUGCUUAAAAGGUGCACUUGCAUCACUACCAGAUGGACCUGCGUUGUAUUAGCUAGUUGGUGGGGUAACGGCUCACCAAGGCGACGAUACAUAGCCGACCUGAGAGGGUGAUCGGCCACACUGGGACUGAGACACGGCCCAGACUCCUACGGGAGGCAGCAGUAGGGAAUCUUCGGCAAUGGACGGAAGUCUGACCGAGCAACGCCGCGUGAGUGAAGAAGGUUUU